GACGAACGCUGGCGGCGUGCUUAACAUAUGCAAGUCGAACGAUGAAGCCGGAGCUUGCUCUGGUGAAUUAGUGGCGAACGGGUGAGUAACACGUGAGUAACCUGCCCUUGACUCUGGGAUAACUGCUAGAAAUGGUAGCUAAUACCGGAUACGACCCUCGGAGGCAUCUCCAGGGGGUGGAAAGAAUUUCGGUCAAGGAUGGACUUGCGGCCUAUCAGCUAGUUGGUGAGGUAACGGCUCACCAAGGCGACGACGGGUAGCCGGCCUGAGAGGGUGACCGGCCACACUGGGACUGAGACACGGCCCAGACUCCUACGGGAGGCAGCAGUGGGGAAUAUUGCACAAUGGGCGCAAGCCUGAUGCAGCAACGCCGCGUGAGGGAUGACGGCCUUCGGGUUGUAAACCUCUUUUAGUAGGGAAGAAGCGAAAGUGACGGUACCUGCAGAAAAAGCACCGGCUAACUACGUGCCAGCAGCCGCGGUAA
rnacentral:rRNA from 1 species